GAAAAAUGAAAUAGAAGAAACUGGCUUCACUACUUGGCCCCCCAAAUCAUUCAGGAACACGUUUUCAGCUGUCAGUGUUCUGAAUGUGAAGAACACAGACUGGGACAGUAAAGCCGUGUACACAUGUGAGGUGACACACAAAGGCAAAUUAUAUAUGAAGAAGGCCUCAAAAGCUGCUGUCACAUUGGCCCUUAACCAACCAAGUCCCAAAGAAUUGUUCAACAACAACCAGGCAAAGUUGGACUGUAUCGUUUCUGGACAAGACAGUAGUGUUGUAAACGACAUGAGAAUAACUUGGCAAAUUAAUGAACACAAUGUGUCUGAUGCCAUUACUUCGACGCCAAAUUCCAGAAAUGGUCAACACAGCAAAAUCAGUACGUUGACUCGGAGUCUCUCAGAGUGGCAGACAGUCAACAAAGUGAGAUGUUCUGCCAUGAGAGACAAUAUGACACCAGUAAUUCAAGACCUGACUGUCCAUAAAGGAGAUUGGAAGAAAACAAAAGUGACCGUCCACGUCCUCCCAGAGGAGGAAAUCAGCAAAGGAAACGAGGUCACUCUAGUGUGCCUGGUCUCCAGUCUUGAACAGCAGGAUUACUACAUCGCCUGGUCUGAGUACAUUGGACAAAAGACUGGAAACUAUGUUGAUGGCAUUAACUUCCCACCUCAGAAGACCCAACAAGGCUACUCAGUAACAAGUGUUUACUACACAACCAAGGACAAGUGGAACAACCACAUGUACACGUGCAACGUCUGGCCUGCUGGCAGCAAUAGUUCCAUGAAUCCACAGGCAGUGUCUAAGGCCCAGGAGUCAAAAGUGAGUGGGGGUGAAUACAAUAUACAUGAUGCCGUUGAAGAGGAUGAGUUCAGCAGCUUGUGGUCCACAGCCGCCUCUUUCAUAUUCCUCUUCAUAGCCUCUCUCUUCUACAGCAUGAUAAUCAGCCUAGUCAAGAUAAGGAGUCAAUAAGGGAUGGAACGGAUGCACAACACAGACAAGCAAAUUUGUGAUUUUUGGUAUUUCAUUUUAAUCUAGUUUUAAAAACAUGAACAUAAUCCACAAACUACUGUAUAUUGUAAUUUCAAAAAUGUCAUAUAUGAUGUUUAAAAAUUCUAUUAAAGUGUAUUUUCUGUAACCUAAA